AGGAGCCGUUUCAAAGACACGACUCUUCUUUUACUACUACUGCUCCUGUCCGUCCGACUCCAAACGUCAAAUUCAUUGCCUCGACCCAUAACUACAACUCUACCUGUUGGAGAAAAAAAUAGAAAAAUAAAUCUAAGGUAGAACUAAUAAUCACAGGUUUUCCGAGUGACGACAGCAGCGCUAUGUUUACCUGAUUGUGGCGAGUUCUCCCAAGUUCCCAACCAACAGCCCGAGGGACAUGUCGACCUUGGUGGCUACUUGCUCCUCCUUCUCCGUGGUUACCAGGCGUUUGGCGCCUUUAGUAGGACCACUGCUCAGACCAUCCACCGGACGGUGUCUUCUUCCUUUGCUUGGCAGGCCUUCCUCGGAUCUCUUUCUCCCGUUGUCCUGUUCAUACGCUACGAAGAGGAAAAUGGCAUUAACGAAGACUUGCUGAGAGAUCAUUACGGGAGUUCCAGGAGAAAACGAGGCUUACAGCUUUUCCGAUAUAGUUCCGUCUUUGUUAAUGCGGUAUGUUCUUUUAUGCUUUGCU